rnacentral:rRNA from 1 species
AUGUUCACAGAAACUGGCCAGCCGGCGGCGCGGGGGCUCGAUCGAUCGAGCUCAUCACUCACUGGCAUUCGGAGAUGUGUUCAUGCCGUGCAAAUGGGGAGGUGGCUGGGGCUCAAUCGGAGGGUGGGGGAGGAGGAAGAGGAGGCGGAGAAGGAGUACCAGGUGGACGUGCUGCCCGACCGGCUGAAGUCGUCGCGGAGCAGCCGCGCUCCCCCGCCCCGCUCCCUCAGCCGCCUCGCCGACGACGGAGAGGGCGGGUUCCUCCGCAGCCACAUCGUCCACCCCAACAACGAGUGGUAUCGGAUAUGGACAAGGUUCAUAGUGUUUUGGGCAGCAUUUAGUUCCUUCCUUACACCCUUGGAAUUUGGGUUCUUCAGGGGGCUGCCUUGGAACCUCUUCCUCUUGGACAUGGUUGGCCAGAUUGCCUUCCUUAUUGAUAUUGUUCUGAGGUUUCUUGUGGCCUACCGUGACUCAGACACAUUCUGCAUCAUAUACAAUCCGACCUCUAUCGCCAUCCGAUAUUGCAAAUCAAGCUUCAUCUUCGAUUUACUUGGUUGCUUCCCUUGGGAUGUUAUCUAUAAGGCUUGUGGACGUAAAGAAGAAGUACGAUACUUAUUGUGGAUUCGCAUGACAAGAACUCAGAAAGUUACACAGUUUUUUAGGGAUUUGGAAAAGGACAUUCGUGUUAAUUACCUGUUCACAAGAAUAGUGAAACUCAUAGUUGUGGAGCUCUAUUUUACACACACGGCAGCUUGCAUCUUCUAUUACCUGGCAACAACACUUCCUGAAUCAAUGGAAGGAUGUACAUGGAUAGGGAGUUUGCAGUUAGGAGACUAUAGCUAUUCUCAUUUCAGGGAUAUUGAUCUAACCACACGUUAUAUUACAUCAAUGUACUUUGCCAUCGUCACCAUGACAACUGUUGGCUAUGGUGACAUUCAUGCUGUAAAUCUAAGGGAAAUGAUAUUUGUCAUGAUAUAUGUUUCCUUUGGUAUGGUUCUUGGAGCUUAUCUCAUCGGUAACAUGACUGCAAUUGUUGUGAAAGGCUCGGCAACCGAGCGAUUCAGGGAUAAAAUGAAAGAAGCUAUCAUGUAUAUGAACAGACAUAAACUUGGAAAGGACAUCAGAGAACAGAUCAAGGGUCAUUUGAGGUUGCAGUAUGAAAGCAGCCGCACUGAAGCCUCUGUUCUUCGGGAUAUUCCAAUUUCUAUUCGUGCAAAGAUUUCACAAACACUGUACAUGCCAUAUAUUGAAAGGACACCGCUGUUCAAAGGAUGUUCAGCAGAAUUCCUUCAACAGAUUGUUGCCAGGCUGCAAGAAGAGUUCUACUUACCAGAAGAAGUUGUUUUGGAGCAAGGAAGUGUAGUUGAUCAGUUAUACUUUGUCUGUCAGGGUGCACUAGAAGGAGUUGGCAUUGGCAAAGAUGGUCAAGAGGAGGCCAGUUUAAUGUUUGAGCAAGGGAACUCUUUUGGAGAAAUUGCUAUUCUUUGCAACGUUCCACAGCCCUACAAUAUUCGUGUUUGUGAACUUUGCAGGCUCUUACGGUUGGAUAAAGAGUCAUUGACAUACAUAUUGGGGAUUUAUUUCGCUGAUGGAAGAAAACUUUUGAGCAAUCUUACUGAGAGCAAUGAAUACGGCCUACGAGUCAAACAAAUAGGACCAGAUAUCAAAUUCCAUAUAGGGAAACAAGAGGAAGAGCUGACCUUAAGAGUGAACACAGCCGCUUUCCACGGUGAGCUUAAUCAGCUGACAGACUUAAUCCGAGCUGGAGUCGAUCCAAAGAACACUGAUUAUGAUGGGCGGUCUCCUUUGCAUCUUGCAGCUUCCAAAGGUUAUGAAGAAGUUGCGCAGUUCCUUAUCCAUGAGGGCGUUGAUAUCAACUGUACCGAUAAUUUUGGGAACACACCCUUACUAGAGGCAGUGAAGCGGGGGCAUGAUAGAGUGGCCUCAUUGCUCUUUUCCAAAGGAGCCAAGCUGAACCUCGAGAAUGCCGGUAUCCAUCUCUGCAUGGCUGUAUCAAAGAGAGAGACUGAUUUCAUUCGGGGGGCUCUAGCUUACGGUGCCGACCCAAACUCGAAAGACUACGACCACCGGCAUCCUCUCCACAUAGCCGCUUCAGAGGGCUUGUAUAUAAUGGCGAAGUUGUUGGUAGACGCUGGUGCAAGUGUGCUUGUAACAGACAGACGCGGUACUACUCCGCUGGACGAAGGGCGCAAGUCCGGGAGUAAGCCUCUUAUAGUGCUUCUGGAAGAGGCAAAAACCGAGGAGCUCUCCAAGUUCCCCACACGAGGCGAAAAAGUGAGAGAUAAAAUACAUCAACGACUGUGCUCCGUGUUCCCUUGCCAUCCGUUGAAUAUUGAUGCCAAGCGAAAAGAGGGGGUGAUGCUGUGGAUUCCUCACACUAUGAAUGAACUCAUCAGGUCAGCCCAGGAGAAGCUGGGUUUGUCCGGCUCACGCCUGCGCUUGCUCUGUGAGGAUGGCGCAGCGGUUCAGGAAGUGGACAUGGUAAUUGAUGGGCAGAAGCUCUAUCUUGUUGGAGACGAGGACAUGUGA